rnacentral:rRNA from 1 species
CGGAGGGUGCAAACGUUAUCCGGAUUCACUGGGUUUAAAGGGUGUGUAGGCGGGUAUUUAAGUCAGUGGUGAAAUCUCUGAGCUCAACUCAGAAACUGCCAUUGAUACUAUUUAUCUUGAAUAUCGUUGAGGUUGGCGGAAUAUAUCAUGUAGCGGUGAAAUGCAUAGAUAUGAUAUAGAACACCGAUUGCGAAGGCAGCUAACUAAGCGAUGAUUGACGCUGAGGCACGAAAGCGUGGGGAUCAAACAGGAUUAGAUACCCUGGUAGUCCACGCCCUAAACUAUGAUUACUCGACAUACGCGAUACACAGUGUGUGUCUGAGCGAAAGCAUUAAGUAAUCCACCUGGGAAGUACGUCCGCAAGGAUG